rnacentral:rRNA from 1 species
CCUACGGGAGGCAGCAGUGGGGGAUAUUGCACAAUGGGGGAAACCCUGAUGCAGCGACGCCGCGUGGGCGAAGAAGUAUUUCGGUAUGUAAAGCCCUAUCAGCAGGGAAGAAGAAAUGACGGUACCUGAGUAAGAAGCACCGGCUAAAUACGUGCCAGCAGCCGCGGUAAUACGUAUGGUGCAAGCGUUAUCCGGAUUUACUGGGUGUAAAGGGAGCGCAGGCGGCACGGCAAGCCUGAUGUGAAAGCCCGCGGCCCAACCGCGGGACUGCAUUGGGAACUACCGGGCUGGAGUGCCGGAGAGGUAGGCGGAAUGCCUGGUGUAGCGGGGAAAUGCGUAGAGAUUAGGAGGAACACCGGUGGCGAAGGCGGCUUACUGGACUGUAACUGACGUUGAGGCUCGAAAGCGUGGGGAGCAAACAGGAUUAGAUACCCUGGUAGUC